rnacentral:rRNA from 1 species
AUUGAACGCUGGCGGAAUGCUUUACACAUGCAAGUCGAACGGUAGAGGGGGCAACCCCUCGAGAGUGGCGAACGGGUGAGUAAUAUAUCGGAACGUGCCCAGUCGUGGGUGAUAACGUAGCGAAAGUUACGCUAAUACCGCAUACGAUCUACGGAUGAGAGCGGGGGAUCGCAAGACCUCGCUCGAUUGGAGCGGCCGAUAUCAGAUUAGGUAGUUGGUGGGGUAAAGGCUCAACAAGACAACGAUCUGUAGCUGGUCUGAGAGGACGACUAGCCACAAUGGAACUUGGCAACGGUACAUACUCCUACGGGAGGCAGCAGUGGGGAAUUUUGGACAAUGGACGCAAGUCUGAUCCAGCCAUUCCGCGUGCAGGAUGAAGGCCCUCGGGUUGUAAACUGCUUUUGUACGGAACGAAAAGGUUUCCAUUAAUACUGGGAGCUCAUGACGGUACCGUAAGAAUAAGCACCGGCUAACUACGUGCCAGCAGCCGCCGUAA